CCAGGGGAGUCCAUCCAGAGCCCCCCAGCAUGGCCUCUGGGAAAGGACGAGGAGUACCCGCGAUUCCCUUAGCCCGUGGCUUUACACAUCCCCAUCCUAGGACAGGAUCUUUAUUUGAUACAUUGGCCUGGAAGACAAACUACUGGACAGCGUUGCUGUGAAGCUCAAGUACAAACAUGGAGAUUUUUGGCACAAUUAUAUGAACAAGACGAGUCGUGCUUCUUACAUUUGAAUUAUACGUUAUUCAUCUGGAUACACUAAACUUCUUACCAUUAGAAAUCAACUUUUCUUUCAAGACUUUGUCUUUGCUGCACACACGGGCAGAAUGGAGUGAUAUUUUAAGAUUUCCUGCAACUAGAAAGAGAUCUGGUAUUUUUCUUCUAAUUCAAAUCAACUCAACAAACAUUGAAUGUCUGAAUGUGCCAGAUACAAAAGAUGGAGAAGAUCUACUGUUAAGAAGCCCACAGUCUAGUGCGGACAUGUGAUGCAGGGGCAAUUAACACAACGGUCCAGGGGUGUAAAUGGUUUUAU
rnacentral:lncRNA from 1 species